AUUGAACGCUGGCGGCGUGCUUAACACAUGCAAGUCGAACGAGAACGGAUUAUAGCUUGCUAUAAUUGUCAGCUAAGUGGCGCACGGGUGAGUAAUGUAUAGAUAACCUGCCCUCUAGAAAGGAAUAACAGUUGGAAACGACUGCUAAUGCCCUAUAUGCCUUUAAUACAUAAGUAUGCAAGGGAAACGCUUUAGUGCUAGAGGAUGGGUCUGUAUGGUAUCAGCUUGUUGGUGAGGUAAUGGCUCACCAAGGCUAUGACGCCUAACUGGUUUGGGAGGAUGAUCAGUCACACUGGAACUGAGACACGGUCCAGAAUCCGACGGGAGGCAGCAGUGGGGAAUAUUGCACAAUGGACGAAAGUCUGAUGCAGCAACGCCGCGUGGAGGAUGACACAUUUCGGUGCGUAAACUCCUUUUAUAUAGGAAGAUAAUGACGGUACUAUAUGAAUAAGCACCGGCUAACUCCGUGCCAGCAGCCGCGGUAA
rnacentral:rRNA from 1 species